CGGUCACAUCGGUUCCUGACCGAUCACCGAAGAUAAGCAACGUCGAGCCUGGUCAGUAUCUAGAUCCGUGACCACUCGGGAAUACCAUGUACUGUAAG